rnacentral:rRNA from 1 species
AACGCGAAGAACCUUACCUACACUUGACAUCCUCGGAAUCUUGCAGAAAUGUGAGAGUGCCUUCGGGAACCGAGAGACAGGUGCUGCAUGGCUGUCGUCAGCUCGUGUCGUGAGAUGUUGGGUUAAGUCCCGUAACGAGCGCAACCCUUGUCCUUAGUUGCCAGCGGGUUAUGCCGGGAACUUUAGGGAGACUGCCGGUGACAAACCGGAGGAAGGUGGGGAUGACGUCAAGUCAUCAUGGCCUUUAUGUGUAGGGCUACACACGUGCUACAAUGGGAAGUACAAAGGGUUGCCAACCCGCAAGGGGGAGCCAAUCUCAAAAAACUUUUCGUAGUCCGGAUUGGAGUCUGCAACUCGACUCCAUGAAGUUGGAAUCGCUAGUAAUCGCGAAUCAGAAUGUCGCGGUGAAUACGUUCCCGGGCCUUGUACACACCGAGACGAC